GUUGCCAAAUGCUUUCUCAUCGAUUGUUAUCUGAUCGUUGGAGUUUUCUCUCUAUUAUUCUAUGGUGUACCUUACAAUAUAAAGCACCUUCAGACAACAGGGGGCAAAAUGAUUUUGCGGGUUUUCUCUAUAUUAUUGUAGCAUUUUUAUCUUACAAUAUAAAGCACCUAGAGGCAACUUUCAUUGUGAUUUGGUGCUGUACAAAUCAAACCGAACUGAAUUGGAUUAAACACUCAGUAUUGAUCUGCUGCUUGAGUUUUUGCAUGUCAUGGUGCUGAAUGCAAAGUGUGGAAAUUAUACCAACACACUUUAUUUGUAUUAGCAACAGACCGUGCGCAGGAAACCUUACACAGUGCAAACAUACACACUCCCAUUCACAUCCGAGUACACAAUCUGACAGCAGCCACUGAAAGGGUGUAGAGAAGAGCCGCACCUUGAGAGCCCCAACAACUUUUUUCAUGUCUCGCAAACAGAAACAAGUCUCAAGCUUCUUCCUCCCACACAGCACAUUUCACACAUUCCACAUGAAUGUUUGCUUUUUUUUCUUUUUUUUUUUUGGACUUUUUUUUUGCUUUACCAGGUCACGAGAAUCAAUCCAGUGCAGCAUUUUGUGUCUCACCAGCUUCUGGAGAUCACUCUACAAAGACUAUUUAUUUCAUCUUGUGCAACUCCUUCUUUGCAUAGUCAUCGUUUUUUUUUCUGCAGUCCAAUUGAAAGUCUUGCUUCUCCCUGUGAGUAUUUAUGUCCUCAUGGGCUAACCAUAAAGAUAGCUUCCCCAUGCUUUCAUUUCCUCACUCACAGUGGGAAUCCUGACCAAGGGCUUGAGCUCUGGUCAUCGCUCCAACUACAACACGUCUCACUGCUUCCUGUUAUCGGUGAUUACAUAAGGUUGGGAAACAAAGACAUCCUAGGUUGUCGGGGAAGCGACGAGCUUCCCUGUCGACAUCCACGAGAAUGGAAUAAUUGGACUUUUCAUAGCGACGCUGAUGGAAGACGCAGCUGUUGGCAUUCAGAAACAUCCUUGUUGGUUACCUCAGCCUGAAGUUUCCUGAUUUGAAAGUCCUGGUCAGCUGUUUGCAUGUUUUGGUUUGGCUGUGUGGGUUUCACAGGUUUGGUUAAUUUUAAAAUGAUGUGAAAGUAAGUGGUUGUCUGGCUCGUUGUUUUGGGCCCGUGACACAAUAGCAACCUGUCUGCCUCUUGCUCUGAAACAGCUGGGAGAGGAUCCAGCAC
ensembl:lncRNA